UGUUUUCAGCUCACUUUUUUCUUUUUUUAAUGUAGUCUUGAUCCUUUCCUAAGCAAUAAUGUCAUGCAGAGUUUAUUUAGCUUCCCACCUCAGCUAAACUAAUUGCUAUAAUCUAAUACUUGCAUGUCCAGUGUGCGAAUAUCAUCUAUUUGACAGCUGAGAUGAACUAUGACAAUGUCCAUGAAAUAUUGAAUACUUUAUUUAUGUCAUUCUAUCCCCCUUCUCCUCAGUCCAACAUAUCCCAUGUUCUCCCUUCAAAUUCACAACCUCUUCUAUGAUAACUAUUAUUGUUACAAAAACACUUGAGUGCCUUUAAUGUUGCUCUUAAGUCUACAUGUUUAGUGCUGCUAUUUUGAAGUCGAGCUAUGAGGGGGUUCACUCCUAGAUAAAACUGAUAUUCCUUCUCUCUCUCUCUCUCUCUCUCUCUCUCUCUCUCUCUCUCAUCAUUGAUUGGCUCUAGCUCUUGACCUAAGGUGGGAGGUCAGCAGAUGCUGACCUGAUGCAGGCCCUGUUUUAGCAACUCUAUUGAGAUUUCAUGGGGUUAUCGUCCCUUUCAUGUCUAGAAGACACUAUCCUGCAGCAUAUGUCCUGUUCCUUCGUCUCUUAUCAUCUUUCCACUCAUCUUCCAAAAUGUUCCCUGAGCAUUUUGACCUGUAGGGGUUAUCUUGUACAUGUACAAGUUUGGAAUCCCACAGUAUGUCCUCUGACGUCCACAUGCAAACUGAGGCACAGUGGUCCCUCCAAAUGGAAUACAUGUGAAGACUUGUAUUUCAUCUUACAAAUCAAAGACAGAUUAUUUUAUGCUGUGCUGGGUUCCUACUGUCUGGAAAUGCAUCAAUUCUGUUACUCAUAUCUCUCCAUGUCUUUCUCUGCUUUAAUGUACCUUCAAGGAAAAGCAGUUCAGCAGCAGCCCAGCCAUCUUGUUCAUUAGGUCUAGUCACAUGUGCUAAGUCCUUGUACUUUUAUCCACACCAAGCAAAGGCGCUGCAUAAGUAGUAAACAGUACCAUGAGCUGACUGUCAAUGUCUGUCCCCCUCAUCUUACCAGACAAUGCCACUGCACCUUCACCAGCUGACGAAGAACCGACAUCAUCAGAGUCCUCACUGAAGUUACAGGUGGAGCAUAAAAGAUUCAAAUGUUUUUCUUCAAUCUUAAAAAGAUUUCAUAAGAAGAGCCCACGUCCUUGGAAGGAACCUCCAGUUCCUCCAAUUACUUUGAAAGAACCAUCACAACCAAGGAAAAAAG